rnacentral:rRNA from 1 species
ACGCUGGCGGCGUGCCUAAUACAUGCAAGUAGAACGCUGAAGGAGGAGCUUGCUUCUCCGGAUGAGUUGCGAACGGGUGAGUAACGCGUAGGUAACCUGCCUGGUAGCGGGGGAUAACUAUUGGAAACGAUAGCUAAUACCGCAUAAUAGUAGAUGUUGCAUGACAUUUGCUUAAAAGGUGCAAUUGCAUCACUACCAGAUGGACCUGCGUUGUAUUAGCUAGUUGGUGGGGUAACGGCUCACCAAGGCGACGAUACAUAGCCGACCUGAGAGGGUGAUCGGCCACACUGGGACUGAGGCACGGCCCAGACUCCUACGGGAGGCAGCAGUAGGGAAUCUUCGGCAAUGGACGGAAGUCUGACCGAGCAACGCCGCGUGAGUGAAGAAGGUUUUCGGAUCGUAAAGCUCUGUUGUAAGAGAAGAACGAGUGUGAGAGUGGAAAGUUCACACUGUGACGGUAUCUUACCAGAAAGGGACGGCUAACUACGUGCCAGCAGCCGCGGUAAUACGUAGGUCCCGAGCGUUGUCCGGAUUUAUUGGGCGUAAAGCGAGCGCAGGCGGUUAGAUAAGUCUGAAGUUAAAGGCUGUGGCUUAACCAUAGUACGCUUUGGAAACUGUUUAACUUGAGUGCAAGAGGGGAGAGUGGAAUUCCAUGUGUAGCGGUGAAAUGCGUAGAUAUAUGGAGGAACACCGGUGGCGAAAGCGGCUCUCUGGCUUGUAACUGACGCUGAGGCUCGAAAGCGUGGGGAGCAAACAGGAUUAGAUACCCUGGUAGUCCACGCCGUAAACGAUGAGUGCUAGGUGUUAGACCCUUUCCGGGGUUUAGUGCCGCAGCUAACGCAUUAAGCACUCCGCCUGGGGAGUACGACCGCAAGGUUGAAACUCAAAGGAAUUGACGGGGGCCCGCACAAGCGG